rnacentral:miRNA from 1 species
AUAUAAACCACCUGCAUUAUCUUGUUAAAAUGCAGAUUCUAAUUUAGUAGUUAGGAGUGGGAUCAGAGAUUCUGAAUUUCUAACAAGUCCCCAUGUGAAAGCUAU